rnacentral:rRNA from 1 species
AUGAGCUGCCUCACGUUCCGCCGCUCCGCCGCCGACGCAAGCCGCCUCCAGGACGGCCUCCUCGUCUUCAUGUUCUUCAUCUCGAUUCCCAUACGUAGUCUGAAUACUUCGUCUUCUUCUUCUCGUCGGGCGACGGUCGCGCCGGCGGCCAUGGAUCCCAACAGCUUCAAAACCGGAGGCCUUCUGCUUCCAACCAUUGAGAGGCGGUGCGCUUCGCCUCCAUCUGUGAUCGUGAUCGGCGGCGGAAUCUCAGGGAUUGCCGCGGCUCGUGUCCUCUCCAAUUCCUCUUUUGAGGUGACUGUCCUUGAGUCGAGAGAUCGAAUCGGCGGCCGUGUUCACACGGAUUACUCCUUUGGAUGCCCCAUUGACAUGGGAGCCUCAUGGUUGCACGGUGUCAGUAAUGAGAAUUCUUUAGCACCACUGAUAAGCCAUCUUGGGCUGAGAUUAUACCACACUAGUGGUGACAACUCUGUUUUGUAUGACCAUGAUUUGGAAAGCUGUUCGCUCUUUGAUAAGAACGGCCUUGCAGUCCCAAUGGAGACGGCUGCUAAAGUUGGCGUGAUAUUUGAGAAAAUUCUCAAGGAGACGGUGAAACUCCGUGAUGAGCAGGAGCACGACAUGCCCCUUGAACAGGCAAUCUCGAUGGUGCUUGAGAGGCACCCUGAUCUCAAGCUGGAAGGGCUAGAUGAUCGAAUCCUGCAAUGGUGCGUCUGCCGGCUGGAGGCAUGGUUUGCUGCAGAUGCAGAUGAAAUAUCUCUGAAGAACUGGGAUCAGGAACAUGUUCUCACUGGUGGCCAUGGCCUGAUGGUUGAUGGAUACUUUCCUGUAAUUCAGGCUCUCGCUCAAGGUCUCGACAUCCGUCUGAAUCAGAGAGUGAAGAAAAUUGCACGCCAGCAGAAGGGAGUGACCGUCACCAUCGAAGACGGCACGCAAUACUCUGCCGACGCCUGCAUAAUCACUGUGCCGCUCGGUGUGCUGAAGGCGAACAUAAUCAAGUUCGAGCCUGAGCUGCCCUCCUGGAAGAGCUCCGCCAUCGCGGACCUCGGCGUCGGCAUAGAAAACAAGGUCGCCAUGCACUUCGACAAGGCCUUCUGGCCUAAUGUCCAGGUGCUGGGCAUGGUCGGCCCUACGCCGAAGACCUGCGGCUACUUCCUGAACCUCCACAAGGCCACUGGCCACCCGGUGCUCGUCUUCAUGGCAGCCGGUCGGUUCGCCCAGGAUGUGGAGAAGCUCUCAGACAAGGAGGCCGUGGAACUCGUCAUGUGUCACCUGAGGAAGAUGAUACCCGACGCCACUGAACCCAGUCAGUACCUGGUAUCGCGGUGGGGCUCGGACCCGAACUCGCUGGGGUCCUACUCGUGCGACCUGGUGGGGAAGCCGUCGGACGUGUGCGAGAGGUUCUCGGCGCCGGUGGAGAGCGUGCUGUACUUCGCUGGAGAGGCGGCCAGCGCGGAGCACUCGGGAGCUGUGCACGGCGCAUACUCGUCAGGCAUGGACGCCGCUGAGGAAUGCCGGAGGAGGCUGCUGAUGAGGAAGGGCGUUCCGGACCUCGUCCAGGUCGGCGCCGCCGCCUGCGAAGAGAUGGCCGACGUCGUCGCCCCUCUCCAGAUUUGCCGCACCUAG